AUACUGUAAAUUCUUCAAAAUGUGAAGUGGAAAAUAUAAUAAUGAUUCUACAAGGUUAUUUUGAAGAUAAGGAAGGGGAGCCAAUGAUACAACAUCCACAGAGCAAUACUUGGCAUAAGGUUGUUGAAAUAAGCAAAUAUGUUUGCACUGAAGAAUUUAAGAAAUGGCACCCUUAACUGGGGCUUCCCAGAAAUCACAGUGUUGCCAAUGAGCAUGUAGGAUCCUCAUGUAGCACAUUUCUCUUCAUUUGAGUAAAUGCAUCUUCUGAUAUAUGUACUUACUAUAGAAAAUUGAAACAAGAUUCACAAAGACUUAUGGCAAGAGUAGCCACAUUAAAUAUUUAAGGGUACAGGAAAAUAAUGUAACAAUGUAACACAGUUUUGGGAGCUCAGAGAAUUCACUCAGGACAUAAGGCAGUCGAAUUUCUUUUUAUGCUCUGUCCAACAAAAAUAUUAUAUGCCAUAUUCAAAACACGUACAACCAGAUUUACACCACUGAAAAUCAUGGUAUCCAGUGUAAGACAUACAGACUUGAAGAAAUUGAAACUGAGUUACUCACUGGAAGCCAGAAAGAAAGAGAGAAACUAAUCCCAAAUAAAUAGUACAAAUUUUAUCUUA